GGAAGUCCAUACACAACUUGGGGACCAUCGUUACGACCAGCGCUGUGGCAAGUCAGAGUGAAGCCAUGGGCCAUGGUCUGGAGCAGUGCAUUGUGGGACACCCUGCCUCAGUUACCAUAGUAACGAGAGACAAGUCAGGGGGAGCCUGCAAAAGUGGCAAUGCAAUACUUUCAGCUGAGGUGUUCACCCCUGACGGAAGCAUUGUCGAUGGUGAAAUAGUGGACCACAAGAAUGGAACCUAUGAGUUUGUGUACAC